CACUGAAUCUAUUUUUUGGCAUCCUGUGUCUUUACAAUCUAGAGUCUCUAAAUUUCUUAUAGCAUUCAUUUGGGAUUUUGAUUCUUAACCCUUUUCCUCUAUAUUUGUUGAAGUUAGGGAAAAACCAUAGUGAUCUGUUUGCAUGCCAUGGAUUCUAUCUCUUCCAUCAAUUGUAGAUCUGAAUCACAAAAUAUUGAUAGGAUUGUCUAGGUUUAUUUGUGCCUCUGUGGGUUUCAUUUGAUUUGUUUAUGAUUUUUCUAUCGAUUUUGUUUGAUUUGUUUAUGAUUUUUUGGGGUUUCGUUUGAUUUUUUUCUGAUUUGUCUGUGAGUUUUGUUUGAUUUGUUUCUGAUUUUUUGUGGGUUUGUAUCUACUGGUAAGGAUCAGAACUGCGCUGGUUUAGUUUUGUUAAGAAUUUGUUGAUUUAUAAUACAAGUAUUGGCAUAAAUAAAUGAUUUAGAAUGGGAAAAACACAGUGGAAAGUGGAAACUAUACAAAGUUCAAAAAUGGGGACAAAUUAUAACUCAAAAGACAGGAAAACAAUGUCAAAUUCCCAUCCUUGAAUAAUGGUGGUGGGGUGGAUGGUGGAACCAUCCUCCCUCUUCCAUUGAAUAUAAAAAGAAGAAGAAUACAGAUAAAGAUGUGGUAUAGUUUCUUCCAAAGGGGCACAAUGUAGAAGGUUUAGGCUGAUGCACAUGGAUCUAAAUCACCAACGGAAGAAGCCACAUUGCUAGGGAAAGAACUAAAACUAUUAAAACUUAAUCUCUGUUAGCCCGUUGCAGCUUGCCAUUUAGUAGCAUCUUUUUCUAUUACUCUUAUAGAUUUUGGAGUAAUUUAAAAACUGCAACUUGAGACCAAAAUUCUUUAAUUGUCAAUAUGCCAAAACUUGUGUCUUUCAAUCCUGAAAUCCACAAGAAACAAAAUGUAGAAGGAUAUGAGACAAUUGUCUUUCUAUCAUUUUUAUAUGAACUAGCUUUCAUUACAUGGGAGCAGAGUGAACAGCCCGGAACCCAAUACUCCAUAUGGGUUAUGAAGGACUACGGUGUGGUUGAGUCUUGGAAUAAACUUCGUGUUGUACCAUUUGAAAGAGUAUCUCAUUGCAGUGCCUUUAUUGAGAAUGGUUCACUUCUGGUUUGCUACAUCAAUGAUCAAGUAGAGGAGCCGGAUUUUAAGUUUGUAUUAGUUGACACUGAAACUCUACAUGAGAAGAAGGAUCUUGAUAUCCAACAACAUUCAUAUGUAGCUACUUUCAUGGAGAGUCUUGUUUUACUUGAUGGAGCAAACACGGAAGCUUACUAAGCAGAUAGCAGAGGGUAUAUCAGAAGUGAAGUCAUUAGUGAUGUCAAACAAGUCUGGAUUAUAACUUUAUGCCUUUAUGGUAAGUUAAGCAACCCUAUGAAUUCAAGACUACAUCAAAGAUGAAAGGAAAUUCAUGUUAUGUAAGUGCAAAACCACUUUCUAUACAAAGCUCUUAUAAUGUCUCAACUUUUGAUAUCCAUCUUAAUGGAAUAUUUGUGCAAGACAACUUUUCAUAUCCAUUAUGAAGCAGGUUCUUGUGGCUCCUUCCUUGCAGAAUUCAUUUUUUAAUAUUGGUGCACUUAUACAGGAGGACUAGUUGGAACUUUUUCGAUACAAGUUGACAGCAGUGCUAGUGCUUUCAAAGGAUAAUAAACAACAAUGUUUUAAAUUAUUUAAAGCACUAAAAAAUAGAGCUAUUGGAUUUUUUUUUUUUUUUUCAGCCUCUCAAAUGACAAUGCUUUGUAUAAGUGUGAAUGUGAGUCUUUAUCUAUUAGCAAACAAGAGCACUGUAUACAUCAUCUAGAUAAUACACAACCUUCAAUUUUGAGUUUUGACA